rnacentral:rRNA from 1 species
AACGAACGCUGGCGGCAUGCCUAACACAUGCAAGUCGAACGAGACCUUCGGGUCUAGUGGCGCACGGGUGUGUAACGCGUGGGAACCUGCCUUUAGGUUCGGAAUAACUCAGAGAAAUUUGAGCUAAUACCGGAUGAUGUCUUCGGACCAAAGAUUUAUCGCCUUUAGAUGGGCCCGCGUUGGAUUAGCUAGUUGGUGGGGUAAAGGCCUACCAAGGCGACGAUCCAUAGCUGGUCUGAGAGGAUGAUCAGCCACACUGGGACUGAGACACGGCCCAGACUCCUACGGGAGGCAGCAGUGGGGAAUAUUGGACAAUGGGCGAAAGCCUGAUCCAGCAAUGCCGCGUGAGUGAUGAAGGCCUUAGGGUUGUAAAGCUCUUUUACCCGAGAUGAUAAUGGCAGUAUCGGGAGAAUAAGCUCCGGCUAACUCCGUG